UUUUAAGUUGUGAGCCAGCAAUUAAGAGUUAUACCGACCCAAGUCUUUACGGGCAUUUCCUAUCCUUAUGAGGGUAAAACUGUCCUUAUUAUUGAGAAAUAAGUAGUUUUAUCCUUUGGAUGUAAAAGGGUCAUCGUAUGGUCAUCGAUUGGUCAUUGAAGGCAACAGUUAUGAGGAUACCUUAGCAUUCGAAGGGACUAUCA
rnacentral:lncRNA from 1 species